GACGUAGGGCGCGAGCGUUGUCCGGAUUUAUUGGGCGUAAAGAGCUCGUAGGCGGCUUGUUGCGUCAGCUGUGAAAACCCGCAGCUCAACUGUGGGCUUGCAGCUGAUACGGGCAGGCUUGAGUCCGGUAGGGGAGCGUGGAAUUCCUGGUGUAGCGGUGAAAUGCGCAGAUAUCAGGAGGAACACUAGCGGCGAAGGCGGCGCUCUGGGCCGGUACUGACACUGAGGAGCGAAAGCGUGGGUAGCAAACAGG
rnacentral:rRNA from 1 species